ensembl:snoRNA
UGCAAAUGAUGCCAAUCUCACGAUGGUCUGCCGAGCCCACGCGGGCCUGACGACACUGCCACACGGCUUUACUGAUGCGGGUGA